rnacentral:rRNA from 1 species
GAUGAACGCUGGCGGCGUGCUUAACACAUGCAAGUCGAGCGAGUGAGUUCUUCGGAACGAUCUAGCGGCGGACGGGUGAGUAACACGUGGGCAACCUGCCUCAUAGAGGGGAAUAGCCUUCCGAAAGGAAGAUUAAUACCGCAUAACAUCGUUGAAGGGCAUCCUUCGAUGAUCAAAGGAGCAAUCCGCUAUGAGAUGGGCCCGCGGCGCAUUAGCUAGUUGGUGAGGUAACGGCUCACCAAGGCGACGAUGCGUAGCCGACCUGAGAGGGUGAUCGGCCACAUUGGGACUGAGACACGGCCCAGACUCCUACGGGAGGCAGCAGUGGGGAAUAUUGCACCAUGGGGGAAACCCUGAUGCAGCAACGCCGCGUGAGUGAUGACGGCCUUCGGGUUGUAAAGCUCUGUCUUUGGGGACGAUAAUGACGGUACCCAAGGAGGAAGUCACGGCUAACUACGUGCCAGCCGCCGCCGUAAGAC